rnacentral:misc_RNA from 1 species
GAAAUGCGAUAAGUAGUGUGAAUUGCAGAAUUCAGUGAAUCAUCGAAUCUUUGAACGCACAUUGCGCCCCUUGGUAUUCCAUGGGGCAUGCCUGUUCGAGCGUCAUUUGUACCCUCAAGCUCUGCUUGGUGUUGGGUGUUUGUCCCCGUCUCCGCGCGUGGACUCGCCCCAAAGUGAUUGGCAGCCGGCGUACUGGUCCCGGAGCGCAGCACAUGUCGCGCAAACGAGUGCCUUGGUACGGCGGCGUCCAUAAGCCCCUCUCUCACGCUCUUGACCUCGGAUCAGGUAGGGAUACCCGCUGAACUUAAUC